rnacentral:lncRNA from 1 species
ACAUGUUGGAAGACCCGUCCACAUAGAGGGCCCAAAAGCGAUCAGAGGGAUCUGCUUCUUCUUUGGGGGAGUUCGGUCGGGACUUCAGGUCGUCAAUUUCGCUUUGUUCAGGUUCAGCCUCCUCUGGGAUAGUACACUCCACUAUGAAAUCUAUCAGUAUUUGGGCCUUCACUGCUGGCUUGGGUCGAUAGUUGAUGUCGAAUUCUGUGAGCUCGAUCGCCCACUUUGCCAUCCUCCCAGAGGCAUCCGCCCAGUGCAAAAUCGCUUUGAUCGGUUGGUCGGUGAGCAGCAUCACGGUGUGUCCUCGAAAGUAGGGCUGGAGCCUUCGGGCUGCAAUC